UCUGGUUGGUUAUUUACAUGCUGUGUUGAGGAUUGCCGUCUCUGUUUGCGGAAAACUAGAAUAACGUUCACCAAUACGGAGAUGACCAGGAGUGUUGGGACAUCAACUCAGAUCUUAGUCUACGGUACUCACUAUAACAAGAAGGGAAAACAUCCGACCAGACCGAAAUUCGGACCCUGGUCUCCUGAAUCUCUAGUCAUUUACUCUACCAACUGAACUAUCUUGGCACCAGCGAUCGAACACAGCUGAUUGCUACAGUGCGGCAGACAUCCUUUGAAGCAGACGCCAGUUGUCUUAUUACAGUCGUGUUUGUCGAUGCAGUGACCACAUUUAUGUGUAUAUUUUACGCCAUAGUAUCCCUUUUGGCAGUCUAUAAUAAGAU